rnacentral:rRNA from 1 species
ACUAACAAGGAUUCCCCUAGUAACUGCGAGUGAAGCGGGAAAAGCUCAAAUUUAAAAUCUGUCAGUCUUUGGCUGUCCGAGUUGUAAUCUAGAGAAGUGUUAUCCGCGCUGGACCGUGUACAAGUCUCCUGGAAUGGAGCGUCAUAGAGGGUGAGAAUCCCGUCUUUGACACGGACUGCCAGGGCUUUGUGAUGCGCUCUCAAAGAGUCGAGUUGUUUGGGAAUGCAGCUCAAAAUGGGUGGUAAAUUCCAUCUAAAGCUAAAUAUUGGCGAGAGACCGAUAGCGAACAAGUACCGUGAGGGAAAGAUGAAAAGAACUUUGGAAAGAGAGUUAAACAGUACGUGAAAUUGCUGAAAGGGAAACGCUUGAAGUCAGUCGCGUUGACCAGGGAUCAACCCUUGCUUUUGCUUGGUGUACUUUCUGGUUGACGGGUCAGCAUCAAUUUUGACUAUUGGAAAAAGAUCAGGGGAAUGUGGCAUCUUUGGAUGUGUUAUAGCCUCUGGUUGUAUACAAUGGUUGGGAUUGAGGAACUCAGCACGCGCCGCAAGGCCGGGUUUUUAACCACGUACGUGCUUAGGAUGCUGGCAUAAUGGCUUUAAUCGACCCGUCUUGAAACACGGACCAAGGAGUCUAACAUGCCUGCAAGUGUUUGGGUGGAAAACCCGAGCGCGUAAUGAAAGUGAAAGUUGAGAUCCCUGUCGUGGGGAGCAUCGACGCCCGGACCAGAUCUUUUGUGACGGUUCCGCGGUAGAGCAUGUAUGUUGGGACCCGAAAGAUGGUGAACUAUGCCUGAAUAGGGUGAAGCCAGAGGAAACUCUGGUGGAGGCUCGUAGCGAUUCUGACGUGCAAAUCGAUCGUCAAAUUUGGGUAUAGGGGCGAAAGACUAAUCGAACCAUCU